ensembl:lncRNA
UGCUGUUUGAGCACCCUUCUCAGGUCCACACAGAGGAGUGUCUCCAACUCUGCUUCCCAGUCUUCAGCAUUUAUGGUUUCAUGUUUGUGAGGUUUGCUUGGAAUAGAAAUAGGAUGAUCUUAAUUCUAUUACUGUUCAUUCCUUCCAUCCUCUAGAUACUUUGUCGCACUUUCUUUCUUGUGAAACUUUAGAGGAAUUGGUAAUUCCGUUGUCUUACUUUUUCCUCUCAAGUAUCUCACUGGCCUUAUUCAGACUUCAAUUUUAAAUGGUUGUCCCCCCAUGUACUACUUCCUUCCAUUAAUUAGCUGAUAGUUGUUUUUUCCCUCUGUAUUUUUAAUGCCUUUUCUUUACUGUCUGGAACUCCCCUUCCCAGAAUAUAAAGCAAAUAACUUAGGUGCUAGGCUUUAUAAGACUAGAAUCAACUUAAAUAAACUAGAACCUUGGUAACUAGGAUCUUUCCCUAGAAUUUAUUUCCUUUCCUCCGCUUUUAAGGAAAAAAACAUUAUAUGGGAACAAAUAAAUACCAGAGAUUUAGCCAAAAAUUAAAAAAAUAAAAAGCAAAACCAUUCAGGAUUUGUCAGCAAACUAUUAACACCUGCUAUGUACGCUAUUAGAAACAAUGAAGAUUUUUACCUUAAAGUAAAUCUCCUAUCUGUCCCCUUUUUUUAAAAAUCAUUCCCGUCAUCUUGAAGCAAGCCUUCAUGAUCUGGACUUUUGGAACAGCCUUGUAGCCAGUUCCUUAUCCUUCCCACCUCUCCACCUUUCAGAUCAUCAUCUGUGUUACCAGCAGUCUGAUCUUUCUUAAACAGGAAUCUAAUCUUGUUUUGGGUCAUGACAAUCUUCUUUGGCUCUUCAUUGCCUAUAUCCCUAACAUGCUUCAACUUUGCAGCCUCCUUCGGAUGGUAAGCUCCAUGGAAAUAGGUAUCUUACCUACUUUAUUCACCACUCUCUCCCCACAUCUACGUUCCAUAAAUACUUUAUUUUGUAAGUACUGUGGGCCAGGCUUUCCUGAAAGGUGUGCCUCUAAUAGGUUACAGGCUCGUUAAGAAGUACUGAUGGGUGCCUUCUACCUUUGGGAUGGCCACAUGGAGCCUGGCUCGUCCAGGGCUCCACUGAGAGUCACUGGAGUCUGAGGUCUCUGCAGAAUGGUUGGUGAUGUGCUGAACUCAGGCAAGAAGAUCCUCUGUAACCUGGACGUCUACUUUAGCAGCCCGCUUCAGAGUAUACCACUACCCGUUGUAGAUGAGGGGCCAUGGAGCAGCUGGAGAAUUUGUGUUCCAGGUGCCUGAGGAGCCAGCACAGCUAAAGGUGCUACUAGUCAAAAGUCAGGGUAGGAAACAGAAGAGGCCAGUCAGGGGUUCCCAACUCUGGAGAGAAGUCUCAAGUCUGUCUUCACACGUGUUGGAUGCAUUUGUGGCUGACAGGCCCGUUUAGUGGCAUUCAGGUUAGCUAGAGGCUGACCAGUCUAAUAUGUAUGUUCAUCUGCAAAUUCUUUUUAUUAAUGCACAUUGAUAUGAACUUGAUAUGAACAUGUUCAAAUUGCUUUGAGACCUAUUCAUAUUAUCCCAAGAAUUUUUGACAGUAUUUGCUGAUGAAAAGGAAGAUCUUUUAGAUCUUUCAACAUAAUAUAAUGUAAUUGUGUGAAUGACUAAAAUAAAUUAUUUUUACUUGAGCAAAUAAAGUAUAAAGUUUGUUUAUAACUUAAUUUGCACAAUAGUUUGUUCUUAAAAUGCUGUUUAAAUUAACAUUUUAAUACCAAUAUAUUUAAAAUUCAUUGGAGGAACUUAUUUAUAUGAACUCUGGUUCAUUUUAUAAAAUGAAAAAUGUAAUUAAAACCAAGUUUAUCUUUCAUAACUUUAGAUUUUAAGAUCUUCUUAACUGAAAAGUAAAUUAAAAACAAAGAGUAGUGUUUCUAAUAUUAUUGUCAUUAUCUCAUUAUUUAUAUGGGCCCAGUUAGCCUAUUUGAUGCAAAUAAAGCCAGUGUAGUUGAUUUCUUUUUCUUGCCCAGCUUAGUUAAUGGCUAACCUGAGUUAGGCCUGGUAGAAUUCUGUAGAACGCUGCUGUUGUCACAGACAGUGGCCCUUGUGAUUGUCGGGUCUUUCAAGUACAGACUUGCUUUCAGGGGGAAGAUUUUCAAAAAAGUGUGCGUGCAAACCUAUAAACACUAUUAACAUCUAUAUAGUACUUUAUUGUUUCAAAUAUGCUUUUAUACUUAAAAUUUUAUUUAAUCCUCACAACUGCUGUGUGAAUUAGUUUUACUUCCAUAUUAUAGGGUCGUCUUAUUUUAUAGGUUGAGAAACUGAUUCUGAGUAGUUCAGUGACUUACUCAAGGUCACACAGCUAAUACCUCAGUGGAAGUGCAAGAGAUUUGAUUGAACAGAUGUGGCCUCUUUAAGGAACCAAUGUAAGACUAUGAACAAUAAAUUAAGAGUCAUUUUACCUCUUUAGAAGAGGGUGCUUUUUCUCAAGUAUAGCAUUAAGUAGAUUUCUUACUAGAGAAACUUGAAAACAAUAUUUAAAACUAAAUAAAUAUAAAUGAAUAAUUUUUCUGAAGAUUAAAACAGCUGUGAAAUUAGGUAAUUAGGUGAGCAGUAAGAAGUGUGGCAUCGAUUUGAGGUUUAUCUAUAGAGAUGCACGUGUACAUGUGUAUAUAUAGAUUCUGUCACUAAGUUUAUCUAUAGAGAUGCACGUGUACGUGUGUAUAUAUAGAUUCUGUCACUAAGUUUAUCUAUAGAGAUGCACGUGUACGUGUGUAUAUAGAUUCUGUCACUAAGUUUAUCUAUAGAGAUGCACGUGUACGUGUGUAUAUAGAUUCUGUCACUAAGUUUAUCUAUAGAGAUGCACGUGUACG